CCAUGCAGUGGUGCUUUCCUGUUGCAUACAAAAAAGGAAUCGACUAUAUUUUCACUGAGAUUUCGCUGGUUGAGGUCAUCAGAAGCGGAGGAAAAUUUCCUCGUGCUCACUGAUUUAAUGCAUCGCUCUGCGGUCACCCAUUCAAGGAAGGCCCUUGCCUGAGGCUACUUAUUUCAAAAAAUCGAUGAAAUCACGCGACGACCCAUCGAGUUUUGAUUCGAGGCCAAUGGCAUUGACGUAAGUCAUCCGGGGACGAUCGGCGAGAGUGGGGAAACGGUCCGGACCUAUGACUCUGUCGAUUUCUUCCUGCGCUUUUCUUUGAACUUCCGGAUAAAGGACCAGAUACAGGAAACAAAAGUUCAAGGCUUUCGUCGUCGUUUCCGAACCAGCCAUGAAGAGGUCCACGCAAAUCGCCAACAGUUGCUUUUCUGCAGUCAUUAUUUGCAUUAUAAAAAAUUGCUCAGAAAAAAUGCUGAAUUUUAAUUCUUUGCUAGAGAAACAAAGCUCUGCGGAAAAGUUUCAAGCUCCCUCGACUGAUUGUCGUUAUAAGUCAUGCCCGUCAACUGAGAAAAAAAAUUUCCGUUUUUUGUAACACUCGCUCUUUUUAACAGUCACGAUGACAUUUUUUAUUCGCUGUCAAAACUGACUGCCUCAGAACUUUGUUCAUAUAGUACGUCCUAAACACAAACUCACCUGAGAACGUUUCAUUAAGAUUUUCAGAUUGAAGAAUUUUGAGAUACGCGUCCAUGAGAUCACAGGGAGCUUCGGGAUCGAAUUUCUGUUUGUGAAGUUUCAAUUCUUCCUGCAAACAAAAAUGAGAAUACUGAAGUUCAAGCAGAGAUUCAAUGGCCCGGAAUCUGAAGCUGGGAACACUUGCAUAUAAAAAGGCCCACAGUUGUUGAUUUAUCAGUUCCUUAUCAUCUUGGGUGAAUCUACGACAAGAAGAAAGACAAAAACCAUCAUUGAGUGCCAGGAUUACAGGAGUGCCAGGAUCGACAAAUUUUUCCAUUUUUUUUCAACCUUUUGCCAGCCAUCAUUCUCCAAAGAGUGUUGAGAACCGGAACACCAAAGGUGUCAUCCAUCUGAAUUAUUAUUUCAGAAAAAUUCGAAGCUUUUCGGACCUCGUCGUAGUCUUCGGCUUUGACGGAUUCUCCUGUUUCGUCAGCCGGUAAAUUCGACCAUCGUUCUUCGCGUUGCUGCUGUUGACCGAAGUUUUGCGAACGUAUGAAUUCCUCUCCAGACGCUUGAGCAAACUAUUGACGAGAUGCGAUGCUUCCUCUUGUAUCA